GACGAACGCUGGCGGCGUGCUUAAUACAUGCAAGUCGAACGGAAAGGCCCUGCCUUUGUGGGGUGCUCGAGUGGCGAACGGGUGAGUAACACGUGAGUAACCUGCCCUUGACUUUGGGAUAACUUCAGGAAACUGGGGCUAAUACCGGAUAGGAGCUCCUGCUGCAUGGCGGGGGUUGGAAAGUUUCGGCGGUUGGGGAUGGACUCGCGGCUUAUCAGCUUGUUGGUGGGGUAGUGGCUUACCAAGGCUUUGACGGGUAGCCGGCCUGAGAGGGUGACCGGCCACAUUGGGACUGGGAUACGGCCCAGACUCCUACGGGAGGCAGCGGUGGAGAAUAUUGCACGAUGGGCGGAAGCCUGAUGCAGCAACGCCGCGUGCGGGAUGACGGCCGUCGGGUUGUAAACCGCUUUCGCCUGUGACGAAGCGUGAGUGACGGUAAUGGGUAAAGAAGCACCGGCUAACUACGUG
rnacentral:rRNA from 1 species